rnacentral:rRNA from 1 species
AAAUUGAAGAGUUUGAUCAUGGCUCAGAUUGAACGCUGGCGGCAGGCCUAACACAUGCAAGUCGAACGGUAACAGGAAUCAGCUUGCUGAUUUGCUGACGAGUGGCGGACGGGUGAGUAAUGUCUGGGAAGCUGCCUGAUGGAGGGGGAUAACUACUGGAAACGGUAGCUAAUACCGCAUAACGUCGCAAGACCAAAGAGGGGGACCUUCGGGCCUCUUGCCAUCGGAUGUGCCCAGAUGGGAUUAG